GACGAACGCUGGCGGCGUGCUUAACACAUGCAAGUCGAACGGAAAGGCCCUGCUUUUGUGGGGUGCUCGAGUGGCGAACGGGUGAGUAACACGUGAGUAACCUGCCCUUGACUUUGGGAUAACUUCAGGUAACUGGGGCUAAUACCGGAUAGGAGCUCCUGCUGCAUGGUGGGGGUUGGAAAGUUUCGGCGGUUGGGGAUGGAUUCGCGGCUUAUCAGCUUGUUGGUGGGGUAGUGGCUUACCAAGGCUUUGACGGGUAGCCGGCCUGAGAGGGUGACCGGCCACAUUGGGACUGAGAUACGGACCAGACUCCUACGGGAGGCAGCAGUGGGGAAUAUUGCACAAUGGGCGGAAGCCUGAUGCAGCAACGCCGCGUGCGGGAUGACGGCCUUCGGGUUGUAAACCGCUUUCGCCUGUGACGAAGCGUGAGUGACGGUAAUGGGUAAAGAAGCACCGGCUAACUACGUG
rnacentral:rRNA from 1 species